GGGAUCGUAGCUCAGUUGGGAGAGCGCCUGCUUCGCAUGUAGGAGGUCGAGGGUUCAAGUCCCUUCGGUUCCA
rnacentral:tRNA from 2 species